rnacentral:lncRNA from 1 species
GCAUUCGGAUCCGCUAGAGCAGGAAGAUGGCGACGGACAGCGCGAGCUGCGAGCCCGACUUGUCCCGCACCCCGGGUGACACGGAGGGGGCCACGGCGGAGGCGGCGGUAACCGAGUUCCCUGGGCGCGGGGAACCGCGUAGACGCGGGCUGGGGUUGGUGCCAGGGUCCCCACUGGACACUCCCCUAGGGGUGCCCGGUCCUUUCCUGGGAUGCCUUGUCUUUCUCUAGGGUGCUCCUUUAACUCCCCGAGGUCUCCCUUCCCAAGGGUUUCCCUUCCUUCUCCAGGAUAUCCCCUCUCUCCUGUUCCUCUUCCCUUGAUUACCCAUUCCUUCCCCGGGGUGUGCCCUUCGUGUGUCCCUUCCCCGUAGUGUCCCCAGGGCCAGAAGCGGGCUCAAGUGGGGAAACGCCAGCCCCCACCCCCGGGUACUAGGGGCCUGUCGGUCCUUCUGGACACCACACGCGUCCCUGGUGACCCCUUUGCUCACUCGCGGGGUAUCUCAGUCUCCAUUGUUCACCUCUCCGGGGUGCGGAGCGAACGCCAGUCUCGGGGUGCCUGACACCUCUCAGGGGACCUGGGGUAGCAGAGGCGGGAAGGUGAACCAUCGCUAGGCAGGUGUGGGGAUGCUCUUUGUGUGUGUGUGUGGGGGGGGGGGGGUGGGGAGACUGGUGAGAGAGGCCCCGUAGCGCCUGCACUUUGGGUACUAGCUGACUGCCACUCGCUCAGUCAUCUGUAGGGACCUUCUUCCCUAGCUAAAGCGGGAUUGAACUGGGUUUUCUGAACCCGGUGUCAAAACAUUGUUCCCUUUCCCUGGCGCCUUGACUUGCUUAGGCUCGUACCUGCUCCCUUCUUUGAUACUCUAAAUGUCUGCAUGCACAGACAUUCUCUUCUUACCCUGCUGUGGGGUCUUGACCCACAAAGCCAGGUUGGAAAAUAUUUGCAGGUUGAGGAAGCAGCUCUUGCUAAAGCUGCAAAGACCUGCAAAGAAAGACAGGUCUGGGAGCGCCUCCCACUCUUGGCCAAAUCCAACAGCUCUUUUGGAGGAGUGGGACUGAGUGAGCUGAGUAUCGCAUGGACAACCCCUCAGUGUCUUCCACCUCCAGAUCCAAAUCCGGGUCUGGGCAGCAGAGGGCAGGAACAGAUGUAAACAACCUGAGCUGUUGAAUUUCCUCCCACCUCUGGCUUGGAACG